rnacentral:rRNA from 1 species
CCUACGGGAGGCCGCAGUGGGGAAUAUUGGGCAAUGGGCGCAAGCCUGACCCAGCAACGCCGCGUGAAGGAAGACGGCUUUCGGGUUGUAAACUUCUUUUGUCAGGGAAGAGUAGAAGACGGUACCUGACGAAUAAGCCACGGCUCACUACGUGCCAGCAGCCGCGGUAAUACGUAGGUGGCAAGCGUUGUCCGGAUUUACUGGGUGUAAAGGGCGUGUAUGCGGGUUAACAAUUCAGAUGUGAAAUCCUGCGGCUUAACCGCAGAACUGCAUUUGAAACUGUUGAUCUUGAGUACUGGAGAGGCAGAUGGAAUUCCUAGUGUAGCGGUGAAAUGCGUAGAUAUUAGGAGGAACACCAGUGGCGAAGGCGGUCUGCUGGACAGCAACUGACGGUGAGGCGCGAAAGCGUGGGGAGCAAACAGGAUUAGAUACCCCUGUAGUC